GCCGGGAUGGCGAAACGGUAUACGCGCAGCGUUCAGAACGCUGUGUCCGCAAGGACGUGGAGGUUCGAUUCCUCUUCUCGGCA
rfam:Candidatus Levybacteria bacterium RIFCSPHIGHO2_02_FTLL_40_18 rifcsphigho2_02_scaffold_244, whole genome shotgun sequence.